UAGGGAAUCUUCCACAAUGGACGCAAGUCUGAUGGAGCAACGCCGCGUGAGUGAAGAAGGUCUUCGGAUCGUAAAGCUCUGUUGUUGGUGAAGAAGGAUAGAGGCAGUAACUGGUCUUUAUUUGACGGUAAUCAACCAGAAAGUCACGGCUAACUACGUGCCAGCAGCCGCGGUAAUACGUGGGUGGCAAGCGUUGUCCGGAUUUAUUGGGCGUAAAGCGAGCGCAGGCGGAAUGAUAAGUCUGAUGUGAAAGCCCACGGCUCAACCGUGGAACUGCAUCGGAAACUGUCAUUCUUGAGUGCAGAAGAGGAGAGUGGAACUCCAUGUGUAGCGGUGGAAUGCGUAGAUAUAUGGAAGAACACCAGUGGCGAAGGCGGCUCUCUGGUCUGCAACUGACGCUGAGGCUCGAAAGCAUGGGUAGCGAACAGGAUUAGAUACCCUGGUAGUCCAUGCCGUAAACGAUGAGCGCUAGGUGUUGGGGACUUUCCGGUCCUCAGUGCCGCAGCAAACGC
rnacentral:rRNA from 1 species